rnacentral:lncRNA from 1 species
ACGACCGCAAGUUUUCUAUAAAUACAAGGCAUUCUGCAACAGAAAAAAGAAUCUCCAACACACACACAAAACUGCCCUGCGCAAACUUUCUCAACACCUUGAGAAUUUUUAUUUUCUUUUUUCGCCGACACAUCUUCCGUUGGCAUCAACAGCACUGUGAAGGCAACCGGUGAUAUCUUAAGUCGGCAUAGAUAGCUCUGUCACCGUAGAAUCAGCCGAUCUCGCAGCAUCUUCCGUUGGCAUCAACAGCACUACGGCGAGGACGACUGGUUACCUAUCCAAGUCUCGGUCGAGAAGGAUUUCCGAAUCCUUAUUGGUCGAGGUCAUCUCAUCAGCCUUCUCGGCGAAGUGAGGUGUUACCAGGUUACUGUAUUCGGCACAUUGACAGCCGAAUUUGAGAUUGAACUUCGCAAAUUAGCAGCCUUGUCUUCAGGCUCUAGAACCCAAGAGGCCGAGAAUUGUUCCUUCCUCGGCCGCAAUCGCAAGACACAGAAGUCAGCAGCGCGCUCAACGCAACAUCAUCAAAUUUACUCCUCGGCCGAGCUCGGCCGACGAGUUGGCACGCCCCGCAAUCACCGAAGGACGUAGUUAGCUUAGAAAAUACUCGGCCUGCGCGCCACGUAGGCUUUGUAAUUUCUAGGGUCAACAGUAUGUCUUCUUAGUUCUUGUCCAUACAAAUACUAUACUAGUUUAUUUUAAUUUUGGACAACAACAUGUUAAGUAAAAUUUAUCCUAGUAAUGAUAAUAAGAAACUCUCAUAAUAAAAAUAAAUAAUGAC